UACGUAGGGGGCGAGCGUUGUCCGGAGUUACUGGGCGUAAAGCGCACGCAGGCGGUCUGCUAAGUUUGGUGUGACAAUUGGUGGCUUAACUGCCAAAGUGCUUCGAAAACUGACAGACUUGAGGGCUUCAGAGGGACACGGAAUUCCGGGUGUAGCGGUGGAAUGCGUAGAGAUCCGGAAGAACACCGGUGGCGAAGGCGGUUAGCUGGGCAGUUGCUGACACUGAGGCGCGACAGCGUGGGGAGCAAACAGG
rnacentral:rRNA from 1 species